CUCUCUCUCUCUCUCUCUCUCUCUCUCUCUCUCUCUCUCUCUCUCUCUCUCUCUCUCUCUCUCCCCAACUGGUCGAGACAGACGACCACCCACCUAGAGCCGGAGGAUCUGUCCUAGGUUUCUGCCUUUUAACAGGCAGUUUUUCCUUGCCCUUGUCGCCAAGGUCUUGCUCAUGGUGGUACUGUUGGGUCUCUGUAAAUAAUGUUAUAAAGAGUUCGGUCUAGACCUGCUCUAUUUGAAAAGUGUCCUGAGAUAACUUCUGUUAUGAAUUGGCGGUAUACAAAUAAAACUGAAUUGAAUUGAA